rnacentral:rRNA from 1 species
UACGUAGGCAGCGAGCGUUGUUCGGAGUUACGUGGCGUAAAGAGUGCGUAGGCGGUUUUCAAGUUUGGUGUGAAAUCGUCCCGCUUAACUGGGAGGGUGCGCCGAAGACUGGAAGGCGUUGAGUAUGGGAGAGGUAAGCGGAAUUCCUGGUGUAGCGGUGAAAUGACGUAGAGAGUCAUGAGGAAGGACCAGUGGCGAAGGCGGGUCUCGUGGACAAGUUCCGUGACACUGAGACACGAAGGACCCAGGGGAGCAAACGGGA